GGGGACUCUGGCGUGCUCUGCGCAGGCAUCUUCUUCUUGUCCCACCGUCAGGAUGCCGUGUGCCUGGGAGAGAGGAUUACUUUCCAGGCUGCCCCACAGAAGCGCCAUUGCCACCUUCUUCUAUCCUCCUCCGAAGGCCCAGAUCCUGCGGAUGCGACUUUAUUUGGAAAAGCCAUCUCUGCAGCUGCUAUAAAGUGAAGGAUCUUGAGGUAAGGCCAUCGUGGAUGGGCCCGAAAUCCAGGGACAUGUUCCUUAUCAGAAACGAGGGGAGACGCACACAGGGACGGAGGCCAUGUGGAGACAGCGACAGAAGCUGGAAGAGGCAGGAAGAGGAAGGAGCCUCCCGCGGAGCCCCCAGGGGC
rnacentral:lncRNA from 1 species